AACGCUAGCUACAGGCUUAACACAUGCAAGUCGAGGGGCAGCAUGGUCUUAGCUUGCUAAGGCCGAUGGCGACCGGCGCACGGGUGAGUAACACGUAUCCAACCUGCCGUCUACUCUUGGACAGCCUUCUGAAAGGAAGAUUAAUACAAGAUGGCAUCAUGAGUCCACAUGUUCACAUGAUUAAAGGUAUUCCGGUAGACGAUGGGGAUGCGUUCCAUUAGAUAGUAGGCGGGGUAACGGCCCACCUAGUCUUCGAUGGAUAGGGGUUCUGAGAGGAAGGUCCCCCACAUUGGAACUGAGACACGGUCCAAACUCCUACGGGAGGCAGCAGUGAGGAAUAUUGGUCAAUGGGCGAGAGCCUGAACCAGCCAAGUAGCGUGAAGGAUGACUGCCCUAUGGGUUGUAAACUUCUUUUAUAAAGGAAUAAAGUCGGGUAUGGAUACCCGUUUGCAUGUACUUUAUGAAUAAGGAUCGGCUAACUCCGUGCCAGCAGCCGCGGUAAUACGGAGGAUCCGAGCGUUAUCCGGAUUUAUUGGGUUUAAAGGGAGCGUAGAUGGAUGUUUAAGUCAGUUGUGAAAGUUUGCGGCUCAACCGUAAAAUUGCAGUUGAUACUGGAUAUCUUGAGUGCAGUUGAGGCAGGCGGAAUUCGUGGUGUAGCGGUGAAAUGCUUAGAUAUCACGAAGAACUCCGAUUGCGAAGGCAGCCUGCUAAGCUGCAACUGACAUUGAGGCUCGAAAGUGUGGGUAUCAAACAGGAUUAGAUACCCUGGUAGUCCACACGGUAAACGAUGAAUACUCGCUGUUUGCGAUAUACAGCAAGCGGCCAAGCGAAAGCGUUAAGUAUUCCACCUGGGGAGUACGCCGGCAACGGUGAAACUCAAAGGAAUUGACGGGGGCCCGCACAAGCGGAGGAACAUGUGGUUUAAUUCGAUGAUACGCGAGGAACCUUACCCGGGCUUAAAUUGCAGAUGAAUUACGGUGAAAGCCGUAAGCCGCAAGGCAUCUGUGAAGGUGCUGCAUGGUUGUCGUCAGCUCGUGCCGUGAGGUGUCGGCUUAAGUGCCAUAACGAGCGCAACCCUUGUUGUCAGUUACUAACAGGUUCCGCUGAGGACUCUGACAAGACUGCCAUCGUAAGAUGUGAGGAAGGUGGGGAUGACGUCAAAUCAGCACGGCCCUUACGUCCGGGGCUACACACGUGUUACAAUGGGGGGUACAGAGGGCCGCUACCACGCGAGUGGAUGCCAAUCCCAAAAACCUCUCUCAGUUCGGACUGGAGUCUGCAACCCGACUCCACGAAGCUGGAUUCGCUAGUAAUCGCGCAUCAGCCACGGCGCGGUGAAUACGUUCCCGGGCCUUGUACACACCGCCCGUCAAGCCAUGGGAGCCGGGGGUACCUGAAGUGCGUAACCGCGAGGAGCGCCCUAGGGUAAAACUGG
rnacentral:rRNA from 1 species